GUACUGCUUAAGAGUCCCAAACUAGGACGAAACAGUUGUUCAGUAC
rfam:Trichobilharzia regenti genome assembly, scaffold: TRE_scaffold0029978